rnacentral:rRNA from 1 species
UACGUAGGGGCUAGCGUUGUCCGGAUUUAUUGGCGUAAAGAGCGUGUAGGCGGCCAGAUAGGUCUGCUGUGAAACUCGAGGCUCAACCUCGAGAUGUCGGCGGAAACCAUUUGGCUAGAGUCCGGAAGAGGAAAGUGGAAUUCCUGGUGUAGCGGUGAAAUGCGCAGAGAUCGGGAAGAACAUCGGUGGCGAAGGCGGCCUGCUGGGCUGUGCUGGACACUGAGGCGCGACAGCGUGG